rnacentral:miRNA from 1 species
UAAGUCUAUCCAAAGUGUACAAUCAUGGUAUUCAGUAUACUCACAUAUUUGUGUCUUCGUCACUUCAAUCAUUCUUAGAGCACUUUGAUUGUUCCAAUGAUGAUACCGAUAAUAAUAAUAAUAAUGAUAAUAA